rnacentral:misc_RNA from 1 species
AACGCACGAGACCUGCGGACCUGCGGAGGGAUCAUUACCGAGUGUUACAGCUCCCAAACCCACUGUGAACGUACCCAUCGUUGCUUCGGCGGGACCGCCCCGGCGCCUCCGCGCGCCGGGCACGGGCGCCCGCCGGGGGCCCGAAACUCUUGCCUCCUCGCGUGGAUUCUCUGAGUGGCACGAAAAGGGAAAAUGAAUCAAAACUUUCAGCAACGGAUCUCUAGAUCGGAAGAGCACACG